rnacentral:rRNA from 1 species
GAUGAACGCUGGCGGCGUGCUUAACACAUGCAAGUCGAACGGAAAGGCCCAAGCUUGCUUGGGUACUCGAGUGGCGAACGGGUGAGUAACACGUGGGUGAUCUGCCUUGCACUUCGGGAUAAGCCUGGGAAACUGGGUCUAAUACCGGCUAGGACCACUUCUUGGAUGUUGUGGUGGAAAGUUUUUUCGGUGUGGUAUGAGCUCGCGGCCUAUGGGCUUGUUGGUGGGAUAAUGGUCUACCAAGGCGUCGCCGGGUGUCCGGCCUGAGAGGGUGUACCACGACAUUGGGUCUGAGAGAUGGCCCAGGCUGGGACGGGAGGAAGAAGGGGGGAAGAUUGCACAAGGGGUGCAAGCCGGGUGAAGAAGCGCCGCGUAGGGGAAAACGGCCUAAGGGUGGAGAACGCCUUUCGAUAGAGACGAUGCGUUUUGUGACGGUACCUGGAGAAGAAGCACCGGCUAACUACGUG